rnacentral:rRNA from 1 species
AUGAACGCUGACAGAAUGCUUAACACAUGCAAGUCGAUGGGGAAGUGGUGCUUGCACCAUGGCAACCAUGGCGGACGGGUGAGUAACGCGUAAGGGACUUACCUGCAGGACUGGGAUAACAGGGGGAAACUCCUGACAAGACCGGAUAAUGUCAUGGAGCUGCAUGGCUUUAUGAUGAAAGGAGACGCCUGCGGAGAGCCUUGCGUCCUAUUAGCUAGUUGGUGAGGUAAUGGCUCACCAAGGCGAAGAUAGGUAGCCGGCCUGAGAGGGUGGACGGCCACAAGGGGACUGAGAUACGGCCCUUACUCCUACGGGAGGCAGCAGUGGGGAAUAGUGGACAAUGGGGGCAACCCUGAUCCAGCAAUUCUGUGUGCACGAAGAAGGUUUUCGGAUUGUAAAGUGCUUUCAGCAGGGAAGAAGUAAGUGACGGUACCUGCAGAAGAAGCGACGGCUAAAUACGUG